GAUGAACGCUGGCGGCGUGCCUAAUACAUGCAAGUCGAGCGAACAGACGAGGAGCUUGCUCCUCUGACGUUAGCGGCGGACGGGUGGGUAACACGUGGAUAACCUACCUAUAAGACUGGGAUAACUUCGGGAAACCGGAGCUAAUACCGGAUAUAUAUUGAACCGCAUGGUUCAAUAGUGAAAGACGGUUUUGCUGUCACUUAUAGAUGGAUCCGCGCCGCAUUAGCUAGUUGGUAAGGUAACGGCUUACCAAGGCAACGAUGCGUAGCCGACCUGAGAGGGUGAUCGGCCACACUGGAACUGAGACACGGUCCAGACUCCUACGGGAGGCAGCAGUAGGGAAUCUUCCGCAAUGGGCGAAAGCCUGACGGAGCAACGCCGCGUGAGUGAUGAAGGUCUUCGGAUCGUAAAACUCUGUUAUUAGGGAAGAACAAAUGUGUAAGUAACUAUGCACGUCUUGACGGUACCUAAUCAGAAAGCCACGGCUAACUACGUG
rnacentral:rRNA from 1 species